rnacentral:rRNA from 1 species
GACGAACGCUGGCGGCGUGCUUAACACAUGCAAGUCGAACGAAGUGGCGAACGGGUGAGUAACGCGUAAUCAACCUGCCAUUCAGAGGGGGACAACAGUUGGAAACGACUGCUAAUACCCCAUACUGAAGGAGGGGCUUGUGUCGGAUGAGCUAGUUGGAGGGGUAACGGCCCUCAAAGGCGAUGAUCAGUAGCCUGUCUGAGAGGAUGAACCGCCACAUUGGGACUGAGACACGGCCCAGACUCCGUCGGGAGGCAGCAGUUGGGAAUCUUCCGCAAUGGACGAAAGUCUGACGGAGCAACGCCGCGUGAGUGAUGACGGCCUUCGGGUUGUAAAGCUCUGUUAAUCGGGACGCGGUACCGGAAUAGAAAGCCACGGCUAACUACGUGCCAGCAGCCGCGGUAAUAC